AGAGUUUGAUCCUGGCUCAGGAUGAACGCUGGCGGCGUGCUUAACACAUGCAAGUCGAGCGAAGCGCUUACGACAGAACCUUCGGGGGAAGAUGUAAGGGACUGAGCGGCGGACGGGUGAGUAACGCGUGGGUAACCUGCCUCAUACAGGGGGAUAACAGUUGGAAACGGCUGCUAAUACCGCAUAAGCGCACAGUAUCGCAUGGUACGGUGUGAAAAACUCCGGUGGUAUGAGAUGGACCCGCGCCUGAUUAGCUAGUUGGAGGGGUAACGGCCCACCAAGGCGACGAUCAGUAGCCGGCCUGAGAGGGUGAACGGCCACAUUGGGACUGAGACACGGCCCAGACUCCUACGGGAGGCAGCAGUGGGGAAUAUUGCACAAUGGGGGAAACCCUGAUGCAGCGACGCCGCGUGAAGGAAGAAGUAUCUCGGUAUGUAAACUUCUAUCAGCAGGGAAGAAAAUGACGGUACCUGACUAAGAAGCCCCGGCUAACUACGUGCCAGCAGCCGCGGU
rnacentral:rRNA from 1 species